rnacentral:rRNA from 1 species
UACGUAGGGACCGAGCGUUGUCCGGAUUCAUUGGGCGUAAAGAGCUCGUAGGCGGCUGUUCAAGUCGAACGUGAAAACUCGAAGCUCAACUCCGAGCCUGCGUUCGAUACUGGACGGCUAGAGUCUGGUAGGGGGAUCUGGAAUUCCUGGUGUAGCGGUGGAAUGCGCAGAUAUCAGGAGGAACACCGGUGGCGAAGGCGGGUCUCUGGGCCGAUAUUGACGCUGAGGAGCGAAAGCAUGGGUAGCGAACAGG